rnacentral:rRNA from 1 species
CCUACGGGUGACAGCAGUGAGGAAUAUUGGUCAAUGGACGAGAGUCUGAACCAGCCAAGUAGCGUGAAGGAUGACUGCCCUAUGGGUUGUAAACUUCUUUUAUAUGGGAAUAAAACGUUCCACGUGUGGGAUUUUGUAUGUACCAUACGAAUAAGGAUCGGCUAACUCCGUGCCAGCAGCCGCGGUAAUACGGAGGAUCCGAGCGUUAUCCGGAUUUAUUGGGUUUAAAGGGAGCGUAGGUGGAUUGUUAAGUCAGUUGUGAAAGUUUGCGGCUCAACCGUAAAAUUGCAGUUGAAACUGGCAGUCUUGAGUACAGUAGAGGUGGGCGGAAUUCGUGGUGUAGCGGUGAAAUGCUUAGAUAUCACGAAGAACUCCGAUUGCGAAGGCAGUUCACUGGACUGCAACUGACACUGAGGCUCGAAAGUGUGGGUAUCAAACAGGAUUAGAUACCCCUGUAGUC